CAUUUACACUUCAAUUAAGAAAUAACAUCAUUGGCUCAUAUACGUUUAGAUGCUGAGGUCAUGCAUUCAACUCUGAUCUGUCCUACUGCUGUCGGAAAUGGGGAAUCAUUGUUUUUGCAAAAUUCCCUGGUGGAAGGAACAACUUUGCUUCUAGGGAUCAUAUGCGACUCGCAAUCAACUUUGCUUCUCAGCCAACAUGUUCAAUACCAGGUUUGCCUUGUAGUUUCCAGGUCUUCAUCCAUAUUCACAUAUUUGAGACUUUGCACGGUUGCAAAUUUACCAACCAAUAGCUAUAAUAUGACACUUCUCCGGUACCACUAUUUUUUUUCACACAGCAUGUAAAUUUUUUUAUGCUUUUCAUUCAUCCUUCUAAAAAAAGUUUUACAAGCAUCAAAAAUGUAAAUAUUAUGUACAGGGAGUACUUGUUGCAUUGCACUAAGUUAUGUUGAAACCAAUUUGUUCAAUUUUUAAAUUUUGAAAUCACAGAAUCCUUGCGUAACUGCUAAAGCCUACAUUACCUCGAGUACAUAUUUUCCGUUGCCAUCACCAUGACAUAAAAAAAGGUUCACUUAGUUGUCAUUUCUAGCAAAUGUCCAUAAUAUUCUAUUUUAAAAAUAAUAUGAUUACAUAUUCAAAUUUCAUUUUCUAUAGCUGCAUUAUUCAUAUCAAAGGCGCAAUGACAACAAGUUGUCAAAGUUCUUAUAUGAUCCAUCAAUUAGAAAUGUAAGUAGCGUUUCCAGGAUAAUAUGGCACUACUAUAACAAGUCCAUCAAUCAGGAUAUAACCACUCACAAUAUUGCGUCUGAGCCAUUAUGCCAAGAGGAACUAACCAUCCCCCAGAAUUGGUAAUAGACGCAUUAUUAUUAUUAUCUAGUUAAGAAUUUUAUGUAGAAAUAUUGAAGGGCCUCAGUGUGUGUAACAAAAUCAGAUCAUUGAUAAUUAAAUCUCACUGAAAUCCGCUAAGAUAAUUAGAAUAAUCAUCAUAAGCCAUGACAAAUAAAAAUUGAAAA